GGGGGCAGCGCAGGAUCGUGGGCUGUGUCCCCCAGCACCCUGAGAUCUGGGACCUGUGCUGCUGGAAUCAUGCUCUUGGGCCGUGGCUCCC
rfam:Canis lupus familiaris chromosome 22, whole genome shotgun sequence.